rnacentral:misc_RNA from 1 species
CGACACCCACCAAACACACUUAUUAAGUAAGUGUGUUCGAGUGAAAGUGGCCAUCCGAAUGGGGCCCCGCCCUUCGUUGGGCGCGGGCAGAUUGGGUUGGCUGAAAUGUAGGGAAUUUGGCCGCCGUGGUAGAACAACCAGCGAUCAGGUGAUCAUCCGGGUGCAAACCUGGAAGAACUCAAACGUGCGCCGGUUGGGACGCCCAGUUGGUCUCAAGCUCCAAAGCAGGUCUCCCUCCCCUUCGCUCCCAGGAGCGAAGGGAGAAGGAAAAACGUCACGC